rnacentral:lncRNA from 1 species
GUCGCUGGUCAGACCUCAUGACUCACUUGGACUCUUGAGCCACCUCUGGGGGUGGAGUCUCUCUCCUGGCAUCUGGACCCUUGGUGCUAUCGACGAAGCUUGGCUGGCGCUCUUAGCUGCUAUGUGCAAGACGUGUGUCCCAGGGAAAGCCCCUCUCUCUCUGCAGAGGUCAAGUGAAAGCCACGGCCGCAGCCAACAGAGUUCAAAAUGCAGGCUUGGAAAGUCCAGGGGGCUCUGUGGAGGAUGGGAAGGACUGAUCCACAUUCCUACCAGGAAGUUUAACGGAACCCCCGCGUGCCACCUGGACCCCCUGGAAGGACCUGGCUAAGGCUGGACCACCUCUUGAGAGGCAGGAGCUCCGGAUUUGAUCAAGAAUUCUUUGCUGAGCAUGGUGCCUCAUGCCUAUAAUCCCAACACUUUGGGAGGCCAAUGUGGGAGGAUCUCUUGAGCCCAGGAGUUCAAGACUAGCCUGGGCAACACAGAGAGACCCCAUCUCUAAAAAAAUAAUAAUAAUAAAAUAAAAAAUUAGCAGGGCAUGGUGGCAUGUGCCUGUAGUCCCAGCUACCCAGGAGGCUGAGGCAAGAGGAUGGCUGGAGCCUGGGAUGUUGAGGCUGCAAUGAACUGUGAUUACCCCACUGCACUCCAGCCUGGGCAAAAGAGCGAGAGACCCUGUCUCAAAUAAUAAUAAUACUAAUCAUCAUCAUCAUCAUCAUCAUCAUCAUCUUAUUUUGGAGAAUAAAGAGACCUCUGGAUUUGAGGUGCCAUUUGGGUAGAAAGAAAAGACCUUUACACCGAGAAAUAGUCUGUGUUGACCUGAAGGAGCAGAGGAAUGCAUCGCUGGAGGUGACCUACAGUUGAAGAAGACUCAUUAUGACAGACCUUGUCCUUCUUCCUUGUGGAAAGUGUUUCCUCUGCUGCUACUGCUCAUGAGA